rnacentral:rRNA from 1 species
AUGGAGAACACCAUCCUCCCUACAAUGGUGCUCGCCGCCCUCUUCCUCUUCCUCUUUCUCAAAGCCACUUUCCGUCACGGCAAGAAGUACAACCUCCCGCCUGGCCCGAAACCUUGGCCGAUCAUCGGCAACUUCGACCUCAUCGGCGCGCUACCACACCGCUCCAUCCACGAGCUCUCCAAGAAGUACGGCCCGCUCAUGCACCUUCGAUUUGGCUCCUUCCCUCUCAUUGUUGCCUCGUCGGUCGACAUGGCCAGGUUCUUCCUCAGGACCAAGGACAUCCUCUACGUCGACCGCCCUAAGACGGCCUCCGGCAAGUACACCACCUACAACUACGCUGACAUUACAUGGUCGCCCUACGGCGCCUAUUGGCGCCAGGCGCGCCGCAUCUGCCUCACCAAGCUCUUCAGCCCACGCCGCCUCGCACUCAUGGCGCACAUCCGUGUGGACGAGGUGCACGCCAUGGUGCGUGACAUAUUUGCGGUGUCUGGGCCCAAGCGCGUCGUGCAUCUCUAUAGGGACCACAUGUCGACGCUGAGCUUGAACGUGAUCACACGAAUGGUGAUGGGGAAGCGGUUGUUCGCCGACGGCUCGUCGGAGGGGCCGGUGCCGUCGAUGGAGGUGUUCAGGUGGAUGAUGGACGAGCUGUUCCUGCUCAACGGCGUGCUCAACAUCGGCGACUGGAUCCCAUGGCUGGACUGGAUGGACCUGCAGGGGUACGUGCGGCGGAUGAAGAAGGUGGGGAAGAUGUUUGACGCGCUCAUGGAGCACGUACUCGACGAGCACAGCGUAGGCGAGCACCGCCGUCGCGACGGCGAGGCGGCGAGGGACAUGGUGGAUGUGCUCAUGGACAUCGCCGACGACCCCAGCCUCGAGGUCCCGCUUGGCCGCAUCGGCGUCAAGGCUUUCACACAAGACCUUAUCGCCGGCGGCACGGAGAGCUCGGCCGCCACCGUGGAGUGGGCCAUGUCAGAGCUCCUGAGGAGGCCGGAUGCCUUCGACGUGGCCACCAAGGAGCUAGACCGCAUCGUGGGCCGCGGCCGCUGGGUGAUGGAGGAGGACAUGCCGAACCUGCCCUACAUCGAGGCCAUGGUGAAAGAAACCAUGCGCAUGCACCCCAUCGUCCCGCUCCUCAUCCCGCGCGUCGCCCGCGAGGACGCGGCCGUUGGAGGAUACGACGUUCCCAAGGGUGCGCGCGUGCUCAUCAACGUGUGGGCCAUGGGCCGGGACCCGGAGCUGUGGGACGCCCCGGAGGAGUUCAGGCCAGAGAGGUUUAUUGGGAGCAAGAUCGACGUGAAAGGGCAGGACCUGGAGCUUCUUCCAUUCGGGUCAGGCCGGCGGAUGUGCCCCGGCUACAACCUCGGGCUGAAAGAGGUGCGCCUUAGUCUGGCGAACCUACUGCACGGGUUCACCUGGACACUGCCGGAGGGGAUGAGUAAGGAGGAGCUGAGCAUGGAGGAGGUGUUUGGGCUAACCACCAGCCGCAAGUACCCGCUGGAGGUCGUCGCCGAUCCCAAGCUCCCUGCUCAUCUCUAUCUUUGA